AGUGUAUGUCACAUGCUUGGUGCUGGGACCCAUUCAUGAGAAUGGAAUCUAAUAAAAAUGCAAAGGGAAUCUGGUGAAGUGAUUUCCUUCUUCCCUUAAAUUGUAUCUUGGCUAUAAUAUUUUCUGACACUAGAAAUAAAUUAAUUUCAUGUUUAGAUCCUUCUUUCUACAUCCCCUCCAACUGGAACAAAAGUGGUUUAGAUUAACUAGGUAUGACAGGUUCAGAGACCACAGGGUUUUCCAUUCUGUAACUGCCGAAAGACAAAGGGCACAAAAAAUACAGAUGUUUUCGCCUUGCUGCUACAAAAGCGCAGUGGACUAACUCCCUGCCUGUGGAAUGCAAAUUUUCUUUCACAGUUUAGCAGUCUUUUUUGGAUUUCAGCACAGUGAACUAACACUUUCCUGGAUUCCAAGACCUCCAGAGAACCAGAUGGAUGAGAGAAAUUGGGAAAAAGAACCCACACUGCUUGAAAAAGGUCUAGAAAAAGAAGUUUGGAUCGGGGGAGGAGAAGAGAGACCGGAAAUGUUACCUGGAAUAAUCUGAUGCUUUGGCUAUUUCACCACAGAGGUGCAAAAGACAGUGACUGUGGGAGCAAGAAUCGUAACAUUUUAGACAGGAUCUCAAGAAGCCUAUGAAACUUGGAGAGUUUGUGAUUUUACGCCUCAGAAACAAAAAAUCAGCCAUAUGACCCAGGAAUCGAAUGCCAUCCAUGGGAAGACUUUGAAAUGCCAUCCACUAGGAAUCCAAUGCCAUCCAUGGGAAGACUUUGAAAUUAUGACUCUUUUGGAUGUCACCUCCUGACUUCUGGCACAGAUUGUUGGGCUCCUGCCUUCACCAUAAACUCUUCAGCCUUCGUCUAGACCCUUCAGCUGUCCAUCAUAGAUUCUUUGGUGUUCUAUCGCAAACCCAUUGGUAUCCUCAUUUGGACUUGCAUGGGACACUGCAGUAAACUCCAGUCCUUGGGCUGGACCCUUCAUCCUCUAGCGUGCAGAUGCCCUCUGAAUACUCCCUUAUCCAACCUUGUGGCUAAUGCUUGUAAGCCAAUCUUGUAAUUUCUUCUAUAUUUGUAUACCUUGUGAUAUAUCUGUUUCUCUAGUAAACCCUGAUUGAUACACUAAGAAAAUUUGUUCAUUUUGAAAAAUCAAGGGUUGUGGAAUGCCAGUUUUCAGUAAAGCCUGUGUUUGGCCCUAGGGUUAUAACAAUGCACAAGAUAAAGUUUUCUGCAUUGCAAGAGCUCCCCCCUUAGUGGGGGAAACUGAGGAACUAAAUGCACAAAUUAAAAAUCUUCAGCAAUGUGUUAUAGUUGUUUGGUUAAAGAACUCUUAAAAUCAUAAGCAAAAAGGCACAUAAUUUCCUUGACGAACAAGUCUGAUUGAACUACAUCUGAACCACAGAAAAUCUGUCAAUGAAACUCCAAGGAACUAAGUUCAAGUGCAAGGAACCAAAUUAGCACUGGACCUCAGAUCUGGAUUGGAAAACCAAAACCAAAACCAGAAAAAAAGAAUCCUGAAUCUUGGAUAAAAACCAGGUUUGAUGAAAAGUUGUGGAUAUGAACUGAACCACGUGAAAACACUUCUCUCUGUGUUCCUGCCAGUCGAAAAUGUGUCUAUGUAUUGUCAUACCAACAAGACAAUGGGCUGUACAUAAAGAAAAGUAAAAAUCUAGACCAAGGUUAGGAAGUGUUUGUGUAGAACCAAAUAUAAAAUACGUCAGAGACAGCUGCUUGGCUGUGCCAAAAUUCUAAGUUUCAAAUAGGUGGGGUCCAUGAGGGUUUUGGUUUUAGUGAUAGGACUUUGGUCUUGUUCUCCUACAGGAAAGAAAGGGUAUUUUUUUUUAUAAUGAUGGAAUUCUUGUCAUAUAAACAGAAUAUGCCUGAAAAUAUAAGUUUAAAACAUUUCUUCUGAAUGAGGAGAAUCACGACAUGCAAAUAGCCUGUGCUACAAGAAUUAACAGAGCUUGUUGGACGUCUUUAAUAAACACAGUAAAAUCUUCAUAAUUUUGUGGAAGGGCACUCUUGGGGAUUGACUGAAUUCUUGGUGGUUCGUGGUUAUAGAAAGGACUCUAAAGAAGAGCAAAUUUGGCUGGACUGAGAGUGCAAAGUGGCUGGAUUAGUAAGUGAAGACAUUUUGCUUAGUGAAAUCUUUCAUCAGAUAAACUGCCAAGUCUCCAGCAGCCUUCAAGAACAGAGAAACAUGUUUAAACCAGUUUUGCCUGCAGACAGAGGGAUGCUAAUUGCUUUACCCAGAUUCUCUUAAACCUUCUUGCAUGCAGAAGCAUAAAAAUAGCCAAAAUGUGUACACUGCCUCUAGGAUCCAACCCUCCACCUGCAGAAAGCAAUUCAUGUUUCAACUCUGUCUCCUGCCACUGGUUUGCUUUGGAGCCUAAUUACCAGCUACAUUUGAUGACAACAUUACUGGCUCCAGGGGCUUCUUGUUCCUACCAAACAAAACCAAAAAACAAACUCCUAAAGCAAGACCUGGAAUCUACCACUGGGAAUACAGAAUCAGUGAUGCAAUUCCAGAUUGGGCCUGGUAUCUUCCUUAUCUUCAUGUUGGCAGCUUCCCUGGAGAGCCUGUCUCCCUCAGUGUGGACCAGCUUUGACAAAUAUUUACUGACAAAUGACUAUUAUUUUCAUAAUCGUCAUCAUUUGCAACCAUUUGUUGAUUUACAGCCAACAAACAUGUUCACUGGCACUAUCUCACUUGAUGGCUAUAACUCUGAGUCAAGUACACAGAGCAGGGCUCAUUAAUUUAUUUAAAUGGGUAAACGUCUACAUUGCCGGCAAGUGGUAAAACCAAGAGUAAGGGCAAGAAUCAGCACGUGUAUUUCUCUCUAGGUAUCUUUCCUGGUAGAUGCCAAUUUACAACUUAUAGUGAGCCAGUAGGGACCGUCCAUAGGUAAAAGAGCAAGGAGCCCCUCACAAGUCUGCUUGCAAUCCAGGAUGUACCCCAGGUGGCCUUGGAAGAGGGCACUGUCCUCGCUCAAGCUACCGUUGACCACUUGCAAACCUGUCUAAUAUGGAAGUGACUAUUGUGUGAAAUGGUAGCUCUCUACCACUUAAGGUGGUUGCACAGAACCUUGAAAACCACCUAAGUUCUUGGGAAACUGCAAAUGACACUCUUUAUUGGGUAGCAGGCUUUUCAAGAUAGUAUUUUUUUUAGAAAAGAAUAAAAGGUAUAAUGUA